rnacentral:tRNA from 1 species
UCCCUGGUGGUCUAGUGGUUAGGACUUGGCACUUUCACUGCUAUGGCCCAGGUUCAAUCCCCAGUCAGGGGA